rfam:Melipona quadrifasciata isolate 0111107301 unplaced genomic scaffold scaffold32, whole genome shotgun sequence.
UCAUCGGCCCUUUUCAGGGCCAACAAUUUUAUGACAACGUAAAAC